UACGGGGGGGGCAAGCGUUGUUCGGAAUUACUGGGCGUAAAGGGCUCGUAGGCGGCCAACUAAGUCAGACGUGAAAUCCCUCGGCUUAACCGGGGAACUGCGUCUGAUACUGGAUGGCUUGAGUUUGGGAGAGGGAUGCGGAAUUCCAGGUGUAGCGGUGAAAUGCGUAGAUAUCUGGAGGAACACCGGUGGCGAAGGCGGCAUCCUGGGCCAGUAUUGACGCUGAGGAGCGAAAGCGUGGGGAGCGAACAGG
rnacentral:rRNA from 1 species